GUCAAGACAAGGCAUAUGCGCAAGCAAUCAAGAGACAUAUCACACACAAGAAAGAACAUAAAGUGGCUCAAUUCUCACACAGGGUAUUUCUGUCACAAUUAAUUAACUCUCAAACAUCAUAAUCAUCUUUCCAAGCAAAGAAAAAUAUGGAUUUCAAAACCAAUAAGAGUAUCAAUGAAGUGAAGGAAAAACCGACAACCUAAACAAAGUCCAGAAAUCAAGAGAAACAAGUAAAGUUGUAUACAAGACACAAUAAAAACUACCUAGAAAACAAAAAAUUUAAUGCAAAAAACAUAAACUAAUCAAAGAAAAAUUAGAAUCUCUCCCAAUAGACCACACUUAAACUACACAAUGUCCUCAGUGUGUCAUAAUCAUUAGAUCAGAAAUCAAAACAGUCAAGAGAUCAAGGACAAGGGCAAUAAAAGUAAGAAAAGGGGGAGGAGGGAAAAAAGGAAAUUCCCGCUUGAUGAGUUGCUCCAGUGAAGUGUAGACGUAGAAAAGAUGAACGGAAGGAGAACCAGCAGUAAGCAGCGGAAGUUGUUGAUGUUCUGAGUGCGUGGAUGCGGCAACAGAGAAGGAAUGGAAGUGGUUCCUUAGCUCAACGAUUUCCAUUCUCUGGAAGAAAGCUAAGAGGUGGUAGAAAGUUGAGAGAAGAAGUGACUUUGGCAAGCAUUUGCUAAGUUGAGAAGAAUUUCAGAAAUGCAGAAAUUUCUCAUAGAAUCCAAAGUGAUGUACAUGAAUGAUGCCAUGAAUUUAUAGGAAAUUCAUGAGGCAUGUGUGGAAGGAGUGAAUCUGUAUUUUGUGGAUCUAAUGCCACGUGUACACACAAUGUUGAAACCGUGAGUGAUUUCUACAAUGAAAAGCAUGUGCAGCACAUUCUAAAUGUGUUAAAUCUGAAAAAUAAG
rnacentral:lncRNA from 1 species